rnacentral:rRNA from 1 species
AUUGAACGCUGGCGGCAGGCCUAACACUUGCAAGUCGAGCGAGCGGCGGACGGGUGAGUAAGGUCUGGGAAACUGCCUGAUGGAGGGGGAUAACUACUGGAAACGGUAGCUAAUACCGCAUCCAAUCCGAUGUGCCCAGAUGGGAUUAGCUAGUAGGGGGGGUAACGGCUCACCUAGGCGACGAACCCUCGCGGGCCUGAGAGGAUGACCAGCCACACUGGAACUGAGACACGGUCCAGACUCCUACGGGAGGCAGCAGUGGGGAAUAUUGCACAAUGGGCGCAAGCCUGACGCAGCCAUGCCGCGUGUGUGAAGAAGGCUUUCGGGUUGUAAAGCUCUGUCAGCGGGGAAGCGUUACCCGCACAAGAAGCCCCGGCUAACUCCGUGCCAGCAGCCGCGGUAAUUC